GACGAACGCUGGCGGCGUGCCUAAUACAUGCCAGUCGAACGAACCGCGACUAGGUGCUUGCACUUGGUCAAGGUGAGUGGCGAACGGGUGAGUAGCACGUGGGUAACCUACCUCAUAGUGGGGGAUAACAGUCGGAAACGACUGCUAAUACCGCAUAGGACAUAGGAUCACAUGAUUCUGUGAGGAAAGGUGGCGCAAGCUAUCGCUAAGAGAUGGACCCGCGGUGCAUUAGCUAGUUGGUAGGGUAAAGGCCUACCAAGGCGAUGAUGCAUAGCCGACCUGAGAGGGUGAUCGGCCACAUUGGGACUGAGACACGGCCCAAACUCCUACGGGAGGCAGCAGUAGGGAAUCUUCCGCAAUGGACGCAAGUCUGACGGAGCAACGCCGCGUGAGUGAAGAAGGUCUUCGGAUCGUAAAGCUUUGUUGUUAGAGAAGAACAGCGCAUAGAGUAACUGUUAUGCGUGUGACGGUAUCUAACCAGAAAGCCACGGCUAACUACGUG
rnacentral:rRNA from 1 species